ACAAAAAUAUAUCAAAACUUGCCAAAUUGUAUCAAAUCACAAAGAGGAAAAUCAAAUAUUCUUUCAUUAUAAAAAGAUUGCAUUUACAUUUAGAACUUCUCUAAUCUGCACAAACUUGAGCUCCAAGUCACAGAUCUGAUUCCACACAAAAAAAUUCUUACAAAAAAGAACUAACAAACCACCACAAGACCUUCAUUUCCAGCCAUUCAUCACCAUGCAUGUGUCCUCCUCUCCACCGCGUUUCAUCGUAUUGCCAUUUCCGAAGACAUUCUGAUUCGUCGCCGUCAGGUUCCAUAGGUGUGCCAUGCUUUUUUUUGUUGUUCUUUUUUGCUAUUUUUUAAUUUGAUUAAGUGUUUGAGUUAUUGGUGGUUUGUGGGAAAAGAGGAUGAAGAAAUUUGAGAUGGAGAAGAAAACGGAUUGGGAUUCAGUGACUUUAGGGCGGGAAAGGCACCAUGCCUUUGGACCAAUCUAAUGCGACAAAUGAAUCAAUGAUCCAUAACAAGCCAUGUAUGGUCAUAACUAUAUUAAUUAAAAGAAACUAAAAAGGGCUGGUCCUGUGGGUGUGCGAGGUUUGUCACUGCAUAGGGCCUCAAAAAUUUGGGGGCCUCAAAUAUUAAAAAUAUAUUAAAUAUUUAUUACAUAGGUUGUUUAUUAAAUAUAUGUAAGAUGUUUAUGUAUUGGCUUGAUGGAAGUGUAUUAAUGUUUUUUUAUGGUCA